rnacentral:rRNA from 1 species
GAUGAACGCUGGCGGCGUGCCUAAUACAUGCAAGUCGGGCGAACGGACGAGAAGCUUGCUUCUCUGAUGUUAGCGGCGGACGGGUGAGUAACACGUGGAUAACCUACCUAUAAGACUGGGAUAACUUCGGGAAACCGGAGCUAAUACCGGAUAAUAUUUUGAACCGCAUGGUUCAAAAGUGAAAGACGGUCUUGCUGUCACUUAUAGAUGGAUCCGCGCUGCAUUAGCUAGUUGGUAAGGUAACGGCUUACCAAGGCAACGAUGCAUAGCCGACCUGAGAGGGUGAUCGGCCACACUGGAACUGAGACACGGUCCAGACUCCUACGGGAGGCAGCAGUAGGGAAUCUUCCGCAAUGGGCGAAAGCCUUACGGAGCAACGCCGCGUGAGUGAUGAAGGUCUUCGGAUCGUAAAACUCUGUUAUUAGUGAAGAACAUAUGUGUAAGUAACUGUGCACAUCUUGACGGUACCUAAUCAGAAAGCCACGGCUAACUACGUG